AAGUGCUAUAAGGCUAAACUUUGCUAGUGUUUAGUUGCAUAUAAUGCUUCUUUAGGGAAGUUGUUUAUCUUCUUAAAUUGAAUAUUUCUUGGUACUUUGCAAAAUAGAUUUUCUUUGUUUUUGAAAAUUACUCUAUUAUACUACUUACACCUUACAUGCUCUUAUAACUAACUUAAUUAGUCAUAGAAAUAAAUUCUACUUCAAUAAUCAAAGUCUCCAAUUAAGUCUUUUGUAGUUGGCAAAUUUUGUGGUUUUAGAUCUCUAUAGAAAGAGUCUUCUUUUUGCAUACACUUUAAUCCUUGCAAAGUUUGCAAAAGCCUAACUUCUUACUUUUGACUCCAAAAAUAUUUGUCUUAAUUCUUAAAAGACUACUACAUCUUCUAU
rnacentral:lncRNA from 1 species